GGAUUUCUUGAAUUCUUCUGAGACCAAAAGAAAACUAAAUCAAAGAAGAACUUUUACAUUGGUCCCAGGGGAGGUUUAAUAGGAUAAUGGAACUGAUCCUAUUGAUGGAGAAUGAGUGACCGCCAUUUUGUGACCCCUACCUUUAGACCCCAACUAGGUAUCCUCCCAGAGGCCUUUGGAGGAGCCUUCCUUUUUGACACUGAUUGGAGGAACCCAGACAUUGUGCUUGCUCAGAGGAUAACUCUUGAGUCCCUGCUAUCAUCUUCUUCACCAUAGACUUUGGACAAGCUCAGAAAGCAUAAUUUACAGCCUCCAGAAGUCUAGCCCAGUGUGACUGGAUGGCGUCCAGCUUUACCGGAAUCAGAGAGGAUACAACCAUUUAACCCAAGAUGAAGGGAAGACUGAG